rnacentral:misc_RNA from 1 species
GAUGAAGAACGUAGCGAAAUGCGAUAAGUAGUGUGAAUUGCAGAAUUCAGUGAAUCAUCGAAUCUUUGAACGCACAUUGCGCCCCCUGGUAUUCCGGGGGGCAUGCCUGUCCGAGCGUCAUUGCUGCCCUCAAGCACGGCUUGUGUGUUGGGCCCCGUCCUCCGAUCCCGGGGGACGGGCCCGAAAGGCAGCGGCGGCACCGCGUCCGGUCCUCGAGCGUAUGGGGCUUUGUCACCCGCUCUGUAGGCCCGGCCGGCGCUUGCCGAUCAACCCAAAUUUUUAUCCAGGUUGACCUCGGAUCAGGUAGGGAUACCCGCUGAACUUAAGCAUAUCAAUAAGCGGAGA